rnacentral:rRNA from 1 species
GGGACAGUAGGUUGGUCGUGCCACCGGUACGUACUGGUCUCACUGAUUCCUCCUUCCUGAAGAACCGUAAUGCCAUUAAUUUGGUGUUGCGGGGAAACAGGACUGUUGCCUUGAAAAAAUUAGAGUGUUUAAAGCAAGCUAACGCUUGAAUACAUUAGCAUGGAAUAAUGAAAUAGGGCGAUCGAUCCUAUUUUGUUGGUUUCUAGGAUUGACGUA